rnacentral:rRNA from 1 species
CACCGGCGGCCCGAGUGGUAGCCGUUAUUAUUGGGUUUAAAGGGUCCGUAGCCGGCUUACUAAGUCUCUUGGGAAAUCUGGCGGCUUAAUCGUCAGGCGGCCAAGAGAUACUGGUAGGCUUGGGACCGGGAGAGGUGGGAGGUACUCCAGGGGUAGGGGUGAAAUCUCGUAAUCCUUGGGGGACCACCGAUGGUGAAGGCAUCCCACCAGAACGGGUCCGACGGUGAGGGACGAAAGCUGGGGGCACGAACCGGAUUAGAUACCCGGGUAGUCCCAGCUGUAAACGAUGCUCGCUAGGUGUCAGGUGCGGUGCGACCGCAUCUGGUGCCGCAGUGAAAACUUGAAGCGAGUCACCUGGGAAGUACGGUCGCAAGGCUGAAACUUAAAUGAAUUGACGG